AAAUGUGCUCCCAUGCGAGCAAAACAUGAGCCUGCGAUAAGAAUUUUCAGAAAAAAAUCCAACAUGUCGGAACUGAGGAAAGAUGCUUUGAAGAACAAAUACGGUGGUUUACCUCCUGCCCCGAAACGACCUGGGAAAUCUUACGGAACCGCCGGAGGAGUGCGACGCAAGCGUGAUUACACUCCGUUGUCUUGGGAAGAUUACUUCGAGAGUUCGAGAGAUGUUUGUGUCAAUGAUAACAACAGAUUCCGAGUUUACCAGGCUGGUACUUCUGGUCCAGUACUAUUGUUACUUCAUGGUGGAGGGCAUUCUGCUUUAUCAUGGGCUGUCUUUACCAAAUCAAUCACAAGAAUAUGUCAUUGUCAAGUUCUGGCUUUAGACCUUAGAGGCCAUGGUAACACAUCCACAGAAGAUGACUCUGAUUUAUCAGCUGAUACCUUAUCAAAGGAUGUUGGAAAUGUUGUACAGUCUCUCUAUGGGGACUCCCCUCCAUCUAUUCUUCUGGUUGGACACAGUAUGGGUGGGGCCAUUGCUGUCCAUGUUGGAGUUCAGAAACUGUUAGGUGCCUCUCUAGCUGGAUUAGCUGUUAUUGAUGUAGUGGAAGGGACAGCGAUGGAAGCUUUGUCCGCUAUGCAAUCUUUUUUGAGAAGUAGACCAUCUUCGUUUCGAUCACUGGAAGAAGGAAUAGAAUGGAGCAUACGAAGUGGCCAGGUCCACAAUGUGGAGUCAGCGCGUAUAUCCAUGGUUGGACAGCUAGUCAGAUGUAGUAGCGAGGGUGAAGAUAAAGGAAACAAGGAAGGUUCGACUUCUCCCCCUCCUUCACAUGCCUGUGAUACAAUUAGUGAGGAAUCUGAAGAAACGGUAAAUACAAAAGCUUCGACUGCAGUGCAUACAGAGAAUAGUCAGGUGGAAAUGGGGCAGGAGAGGGCUGAUGAGAGAUUCACUUGGAGGAUUGACUUGUCCAAGACUGAUAGAUUUUGGGAAGGCUGGUUUAAAGACAUGUCCAAUUUGUUCUUAUCGUGUCCUGUUCCAAAGCUUCUCAUCUUGGCAGGUGUUGAUCGUCUCGAUAAAGAUCUGACAAUUGGUCAAAUGCAAGGGAAAUUUCAGAUGCAAGUAUUACCACGAUGCGGUCAUUGUGUCCACGAGGAUGCUCCGGACAAAGUAAGGUUGCAGAAGUAUUAGUGACAUUUUUGAUGCGGCUCAAACUCGCAGUGACAAAGGAGAACUUUCUAAGACCUAUGCCAGCGUGUUAGUCAUGGAUCAGAUUUCUUCUCGUUGCCAAACCAAUACGGGCACGAUAAAGUUUCGUCAAGUACAUGUAAUUUCUGUAAAUUAAACUUUACACAUUUGGCUCUCUUUAUGUACAGAUUAAAAGACCAGCAAACAACUGA